CGAGUCGACCGGGCGGCCGCGGCGGUGUGACCCACCGACGAGGAAAGUCCGGACUCCGCAGGGCAGGGUGGUUGUUAACGGCAACCCGAGGUGACUCGCGGGACAGUGCCACAGAGAACAGACCGCCGGUGGAUCGGGCCAUCCGAGUCCACCUGGUAAGGGUGAAACGGUGGUGUAAGAGACCACCAGCGCCCCGGGUGACCGGGGCGGCUAGGUAAACCCCACCCGGAGCAAGGCCAAGAGGGAGCCGCGAGGCUCCUGCGCAGACGUCCGAGGGCGGCCCGCCCGAGUCUGCGGGUAGGCCGCACGAACCUGCCGGCGACGGCAGGUCUAGAUGGAUGGUCGCCACCCAGGGCUCGCCCUGGGAACAGGAUCCGGCUUAUGGCGUCGGCUCGCCCG
rnacentral:RNase_P_RNA from 1 species